rnacentral:rRNA from 1 species
AACUGCGACCCCAGGUCAGGCGGGAUUACCCGCUGAGUUUA